AUGGGGCUCCUGGAGCUCUUCAUCACGGCAUGCAUGCCCGUCCUCAACAUGCUCCUGGUUACUGGUGUUGGAUCAUUCUUGGCAACGGACUCCGUUGGGAUACUGGGGAAAGAAGCAAGGAAACACCUAAACUAUGUAGUAUUUUAUGUAUUCAAUCCAGCUCUUAUCGCAACCUAUCUGGCCAAAACGAUCACCAUGGAAAGCAUGGCCAGAUUGUGGUUCAUGCCGGUGAAUGUGUUCUUCACUUUCAUCUUCGGGUUGAUCUUCGGUUGGAUCGUCAUAAAAGUCACCGGGGCUCCCCUGAAGUUAAGGGGCCUCAUUUUGGGUUGCUGUUCUGCUGGCAAUCUGGGCAACAUUUUCCUCAUCAUCAUACCAGCUCUCUGCAAAGAGAAGGGGAGCCCGUUCGGCGCACCUGAUGUUUGUCAGACUUAUGGACUAGCGUAUUCGUCACUCUCAUUGGCUAUUGUCGGGUUUAUAAUUGGAGGAACACCUCUUAUUAGAAAUGCUCUGAUCGGCGACGAUGCCCCUCUUCGUGUCCUUCGUGAGUCCGGUGAACUAAUUGGCGGAGCAGCCGUUCCAUCCGUCACGUUGAUCAUGGGAGGGAACCUCAUCACAGGGUUACGCGGAACGGCGAGUGUCCCGCCGUCGGUGAUCGCCGGCGUCGUGCUUGUCAGGUUUGUGCUGCUGCCUCUGGUGGGCACCGCGCUGGUGAAGGCCGCGGUCCGCUACGGCGUCAUCCGGCCAGACCCGCUGUACCAGUUCGUCCUCCUGCUGCAGUACGCCGUCCCGCCCGCCAUGAACAUCGGGACGAUCACGCAGCUGUUCGGCGUGGGGGAGAGCGAGUGCUCGGUGAUCUUCGUGUGGGUGUACGCGCUCGCCUCGGUGGCCGUCACCAUGUGGUCCGCGUUUUUCAUGUGGACGCUCUCGUGA
rnacentral:rRNA from 1 species